rnacentral:rRNA from 1 species
GUGCCAGACUCCUACGGGAGGCAGCAGUGGGGAAUAUUGCACAAUGGGGGAAACCCUGAUGCAGCGACGCCGCGUGAGUGAAGAAGUAUUUCGGUAUGUAAAGCUCUAUCAGCAGGGAAGAUAAUGACGGUACCUGAGUAAGAAGCCCCGGCUAACUACGUGCCAGCAGCCGCGGUAAUACGUAGGGGGCAAGCGUUAUCCGGAUUUACUGGGUGUAAAGGGAGCGUAGACGGCAUGGCAAGUCUGAAGUGAAAGCCCGGGGCUCAACCGCGGGACUGCUUUGGAAACUGGCUGUCUUGAGAUGUCGAGAGGUAUGCGGAAUGCGCAGUGUAGCGGUGAAAUGCUUAGAUAUUGCGCAGAACUCCGAUUGCGAAGGCAGCAUACCGGCGGCGAUCUGACGCUGAGGCACGAAAGCGUGGGUAUCGAACAGGAUUAGAUACCCUUGUA